AGAGAGAGAGAGAGAGAGAGAGAGAGAGAGAGAGAGAGAGAGAGAGAGAGAGAGAGAGAGAGACGGUAAGACUAAAACGGAGAAGAGACAAGAAAAAAAAACAUGGAGAAAAGAGAAGACAUCGAUAAUUACAUGAGGACAGUAAUGAAGGACGGACACAGACAGGCAUGGACAGACAAGAACGAGAACCUCCACAAGAAAGCGAGGGAGGAGGAGGAAGAGGAGGAUGAGUCAUUACAGAGAAGGGUCGCCAACUUUGCGGGGUCUUUCAGCGCCCACGGCAUCGGCAAAGUGUUUCUGAGUCGACACUGGUGGCGGCGAGUGUUGUGGCUUGCGGUGUGCCUGGUGAUGGCUGGCUGGGGGACCUACCAGUGUUACAGCAUCGUUACAGAAUAUUUCCAGUACCCGAAGAAGGUCACUAUUGAGAUAAUAGAAGAAACAAAGGUGCCGUUCCCUGCAGUGACUGUGUGUAACCUGAACCCACUUCCCGCCAGAUCAUCUGUAGCAGACCACCAAACCUGGUCUUCUUUUGUUCAAAUAGAGGACGAGAACUCUGAAGCCAUCUGCGAAGGAUUUUCUACGUACCAGAACGACUACUACGAUUACUACGACUACUACGGCGAGCCCUACUCGGGAAGCUACAGCGGUGACUUCUGGGACAGAGACUCCACUGGCACGGGCUAUGGAGGAUAUAACUAUUACUACACCGGUGUGUGUGUGUGUGUGUGUGUGUGUGUGUGUGUGUGUGUGUGUGGGUGGGUGGGUGGAUAGGCGGGUGAGUGUAUGCAUGUUAAAAACAUUUUCAGAUAUAUAUUUCAAGAUCAGUGUAGAGAAACGGCGAACUUGAUGUUUCUUUUUUGCUUUUAAUCUUCAUUUACUGAUUUGCCUCUUCCAAAUAACUCAUGAAAACCAGUGGCAUGACAAAUGAUUCCUCG